rnacentral:rRNA from 1 species
GACGAACGCUGGCGGCGUGCUUAACACAUGCAAGUCGAACGAGAAAGCCCUUUGGGGUAAGUACAGUGGCGAACGGGUGAGUAACACGUGGGCAACCUGCCCCAGAGAGCGGGACAACCCGGGGAAACCCGGGCUAAUACCGCAUGAUGCGUCUCCACUUAAGUGGAGCCGCCAAAUGGUAGCUUCGGCCUCCGCUCUGGGAUGGGCCCGCGCCGGAUUAGCUAGUUGGUUGGGGUAACGGCCCACCAAGGCGACGAUCCGUAGCUGGUCUGAGAGGACGAUCAGCCACACUGGGACUGAGACACGGCCCAGACUCCUACGGGAGGCAGCAGUGGGGAAUCUUGCGCAAUGGGCGAAAGCCUGACGCAGCAACGCCGCGUGGGGGAAGAAGGCCUUCGGGUUGUAAACCUCUUUCAGUAGGGACGAAGCUUCCGGGGUUAAUAGCCUACGGGGUGACGGUACCUACAGAAGAAGCCCCGGCUAACUACGUGCCAGCAGCCGCGGUAA